rnacentral:ncRNA from 1 species
AAGUACCCCGCCUGGGGAGUACGGCCGCAAGGCUAAAACUCAAAGGAAUUGACGGGAAUUCGCACAAGCGGUGGAGCGUGUGGUUUAAUUCGAUAGUAAGCGAGGAACCUCACCAAGGCUUGACAUCCUGGGAAUCCGCUGGAAACAGUGGAGUGCCGCAAGGAACCCAGUGACAGGUGUUGCAUGGUUGUCGUCAGCUCGUGUCGUGAGACGUUCGGUUAAGUCCGUUAACGAGCGCAACCCUUAUGAUGUGUUACUACGUGUCACAUCAAACUGCCCUGGAUAACAGGGAGGAAGGAAGGGACGACGUCAAAUCAGCAUGACCCUUAUGCCUUGGGCUACACACGCGCUACAAUGGCCAGUACAAAGGGACGCCAAACCGCAAGGUGGAGCUAAUCCCCUAAAACUGGUCUCAGUCCGGAUUGAGGGCUGCAAUUCGCCCUCAUGAAGCUGGAAUCGCUAGUAACCGUAUAUCAGCCACGGUACGGUGAAUACGUUCUCGAAUUUUGUACACACCGCCCGUCACAUCAAGGGAGUCGGGGGUACCUGAAGGUCCACAUUAGUGGGUCCAAGGUAAAACCGGCGACAGGGAUGAAGUCGUAACAAGGCAUCCGUAGCGGAAGCUGUGGAUGGAACAACUCCUUU